rnacentral:rRNA from 1 species
AGAGUUUGAUCCUGGCUCAGAUUGAACGCUGGCGGCAUGCCUUACACAUGCAAGUCGAACGGUAACAGGUCUUCGGAUGCUGACGAGUGGCGAACGGGUGAGUAAUACAUCGGAACGUGCCGAGAGUGGGGGAUAACGAAGCGAAAGCUUUGCUAAUACCGCAUACGAUCUCAGGAUGAAAGCAGGGGACCGCAAGGCCUUGCGCUCACGGAGCGGCCGAUGGCAGAUUAGGUAGUUGGUGGGAUAAAAGCUUACCAAGCCGACGAUCUGUAGCUGGUCUGAGAGGACGACCAGCCACACUGGGACUGAGACACGGCCCAGACUCCUACGGGAGGCAGCAGUGGGGAAUUUUGGACAAUGGGCGCAAGCCUGAUCCAGCCAUGCCGCGUGCAGGAUGAAGGCCUUCGGGUUGUAAACUGCUUUUGUACGGAACGAAAAGACUCUGGUUAAUACCUGGGGUCCAUGACGGUACCGUAAGAAUAAGCACCGGCUAACUACGUG